rnacentral:rRNA from 1 species
ACUCGGGCAUCGUCCGUCGAGCGUACUCCUGUCUGUCCACGGUAGAAUAUGGUCUGUCUGGUCAGAAUGGGGGCGGCAUCAUGCACACAUGGCAAAUGCAGGAGGCUAAAGCUCGCCUGUCGGAGGUGGUCAAAACUGGCCGAGAGCGAAGGACCGCAGGACAUUACGGUGCACGGGAAUUGGUUGUUAUAUCUCCACUAAUAAGCGGAGAGGGGUAAAACCUUCAAAGUAAGUUAUGUGGAUCAAGGUAUGAUGAUUAAUUGGAGUUCUAGUUCAUUUACUUUGAGAAAAUUAGAGUGUUUAAAGCAGCCUCUUGGGGCACUGAAUACAUUAGCAUGGGAUAAUAAAAUAGGAUCUUCACAAUAUAUUUUAUUGGUUUAAUUGGAUAUGAAGAUAAUGAUUAAUAGGACAGUU